CCUACGGGCGGCAGCAGUAGGGAAUAUUGCUCAAUGGGGGAAACCCUGAAGCAGCAACGCCGCGUGGAGGAUGAAGGUUUUCGGAUUGUAAACUCCUUUUGUUAGAGAAGAUAAUGACGGUAUCUAACGAAUAAGCACCGGCUAACUCCGUGCCAGCAGCCGCGGUAAUACGGAGGGUGCAAGCGUUACUCGGAAUCACUGGGCGUAAAGGGCGCGUAGGCGGGAUAGCAAGUCAGAUGUGAAAUCCUAUGGCUUAACCAUAGAACUGCAUUUGAAACUGUUAUUCUAGAGUAUGGGAGAGGUAGGUGGAAUUCGUGGUGUAGGGGUAAAAUCCGUAGAGAUCAAGAGGAAUACUCAUUGCGAAGGCGACCUGCUAGAACAUAACUGACGCUGAUGCGCGAAAGCGUGGGGAGCAAACAGGAUUAGAUACCCCAGUAGUC
rnacentral:rRNA from 1 species